AGUGAACGCUGGCGGUAGGCCUAACACAUGCAAGUCGAACGGCAGCACAGUAAGAGCUUGCUCUUACGGGUGGCGAGUGGCGGACGGGUGAGGAAUACAUCGGAAUCUACUUUUUCGUGGGGGAUAACGUAGGGAAACUUACGCUAAUACCGCAUACGACCUACGGGUGAAAGCAGGGGAUCUUCGGACCUUGCGCGAUUGAAUGAGCCGAUGUCGGAUUAGCUAGUUGGCGGGGUAAAGGCCCACCAAGGCGACGAUCCGUAGCUGGUCUGAGAGGAUGAUCAGCCACACUGGAACUGAGACACGGUCCAGACUCCUACGGGAGGCAGCAGUGGGGAAUAUUGGACAAUGGGCGCAAGCCUGAUCCAGCAAUACCGCGUAGGUGAAGAAGGCCUUCGGGUUGUAAAGCCCUUUUGUUGGGAAAGAAAAGCAGCAGGUUAAUACCCCGCUGUUCUGACGGUACCCAAAGAAUAAGCACCGGCUAACUUCGUG
rnacentral:rRNA from 1 species